UCAGUCCUCCUCCGCUACGGCGUCAGCUACCUCAUCGAACACCCACCACCACCCAAUGCCGACUCCCAGUAUCUUGAGCUCGAUACUCACGUCGCCCUGUGGAUGUACUCUACCCUUGCCGACUCCAUCAUCGAUCACGUGAUCGGUGCCGCCACCACCCAUGCCCUCUGGACUCGCAUUCAGAACUACUUUCUCGCCAAUCGUGUUGCGCGCUACAUGAUCCUCAAUCGCCAGUACCGGAACCUCAAGCAGGGUGAUCUCUCCGUCGAUGAGUAUGCCCGCCGCAUGAAGCUGCUCACCGCCGGUCUCGCCGACAUCGACCAUGCCAUCACCGAGAUUGACCUCACCACCCAGUUCCUUCACGGCCUCGAUCAGCACCUCGACACCAUCCGCGUCGUCUUGGGUGACACUGUCCCCUUGCCGCCAUUUGAGACGGUCUUCUCGCGG
rnacentral:rRNA from 1 species